rnacentral:rRNA from 1 species
UAGUCCACGCCCUAAACGAUGCCAACUAGACGUUGGCCCCAUUUAAGGGGUUAGUGUCGAAGCUAACGCGUUAAGUUGACCGCCUGGGGAGUACGACCGCAAGGUUGAAACUCAAAGGAAUUGACGGGGGCCCGCACAAGCGGUGGAGCAUGUGGUUUAAUUCGAUGCAACGCGAAGAACCUUACCAGCCCUUGACAUCCUGGGAAUUUUGUAGAGAUACAUUAGUGCCUUCGGGAAUCCAGUGACAGGUGCUGCAUGGCUGUCGUCAGCUCGUGUCGUGAGAUGUUGGGUUAAGUCCCGCAACGAGCGCAACCCUUGUCCCUAGUUGCCAGCACGUUAUGGUGGGAACUCUAGGGAGACUGCCGGUGAUAAACCGGAGGAAGGUGGGGAUGACGUCAAGUCAUCAUGGCCUUUACGGGGUGGGCUACAAACGUGCUACAAUGGCCGGUACAAAGGGCUGCAAACCAGCAAUGGUGAGCGAAUCCCAAAAAACCAGUCGUAGUCCGGAUUGGGGUCUGCAACUCGACCCCAUG